GGCCCCUAUGGACAGUGGGACAGCCUGGACCAGGCAUGGGACAGCCUUGGGACUUGUGGACUUGCAGCCCCUGCUGUGUCCAAAGGCCUGGGAGACAGAUCCUGGAACUUCACUGCGGGGACUGACAGGAUGGUUUCAGGAGGUUCAUUCCUAAAAGUUAGGAUUUAUUAUAGCUAAACCUCCUGUUUUGGGACUGCAAGUGAAGGAUGUUGAGUGGAAAAGUUUGGUAUCCAUUUCCUACUCCAUCAAAAAGCAUUUUAUUGCGCAGAGCUCCACCUCCGUUAGAGCCAGAGCUGGCGUGACUCAUCCUGGAGGGCACAGCUUUGCAUGGUCCUUCGCCUGAGCUGUUGCCCUGCUGUGAGAAAUCUGCCAUAAGAGAAAGCUGGAAACAGACUUAACCUCAUUUGGGAUUGUCCGCUGCCAUCCAGGAGCGGUGAGAAUUGGGAAUCCAUUUAUUAUUCCCUUUAAAGUGAAUUGUACUGCCUUCCCAUGGAAACAUAGGGUGCAACUGAGGAAGACGCUGCUUUUGUGCAAGAAGGGCCACGAGGAUUAAAGUGCACCAGGUACAAUAUGUGUGGAUGAGUCAGGAGAUCCUGGCUUCAAAUGUGAGCUCUUCAAAGUGGCAUCUGCCUUUUUUGGUGAGCCUCACACCGACCUCUCAUUUAAAGAAUGCAGAACCAUAACAAAA